CUGUUCUUCAGUGCUCGAGGAUUGUGCUUAUGUCAAGGACCGUUUACAUGCACGACUGCUUCUCUUGAGUGACAAAAGGAUGAUGAUAUGACUGACUGCAAAUAUGCUUUGUAUAGGACAUUGUGUGCGCUGUACAUCACCAUGCGGUAGAUCAUCCUCUCUCAAUACACAAUCUUUGGUCAUGCACAACCCUCUACAACUCCAACAACGUUACGCAAAGAAGUCCACUUUUACUGUAAACAUCAUCUGAUCCAAAAUGUGCUGCCAACAUAACAUUAACAUUAAAUCACACUGCUGUAACUAA